UGUGUUCUAAUAUUUGGUCUUUCUCAGUUCCUGACACUGAGUUCCUAAAUCCCUUGGAAUUUCUGGAGUGAUAGGAGACUCUUUUGUUCUAAUGAGAUGGGGAAGCCAAGGCACAGAGACAAAGUAACUUGUUCUGCUUUGAGGCUAAGCCAGGACUGGCCCUAGAAUGGAUGGAUGCCUUAGCCACUUUGCUACAGACCUUCUUAGAUUGAACCUAUAGUGAUCCUCCAAGCCAUCUUCUCUCCUUUGGGGAUAAUGCUGUGGCAAAAUACUGUGGAUCCUGGACUUGGAAAUGGACAAGCACUCACUAUGCGCCCGUGCUGUGUAGAAGAUACAACAUCACGAUCCUGCCCUAUUGAAAGCUUAGUCUAUAUCCAGCUGAGAUCAGGGCUCUGUAACCUUGAUUUUAAGAUGAA